ACUUCUGAACCUGCCACCUGGAGUCGAUGUAGCUAUGAGGGGCCGUGUCUCACCACCACUGCCCAGGCCAGGCAUGGUGUUGGGCGCCAGGCCUGCCUCACCUGUCUUGGGGUGCCCAGGGUAAAGGCAGGAGUAGCGCUGACACCUGUAAGCAAACUGAAGUGCGAUGACAGUCUCGAAGGGUCUGGGACGUCAGCCAUAGCAUCCGGCCCCAGUCAGAGGGUUCUGUGAGAGACAAGUUGAUUGUUAAAGAGGUUGCAGAGCUUGAGCUUAUUUACCUUGUACAUGUCAAGAGUAUUUCCUGAUCUAAAAAGCUUCAUUGCUUUCUGCUGACUGUAACCCCAGACGAGGGUUACUACUAGGGUGGAAAAUUUCAGCUCGAAACUGGACUUCCUGAUGCAUACAAUGUGGUGCCUUCCAAAGUGAAAUGCCUGACCAGGAUCUGGUACCCUAACAUCAGAGAUAGGGGAAAUAUGUCUAAAGUUUACUGAGGACAUUCGAUUGACAGCACUGGCUGGGCUCCCACGAGAUCAUUAAAGGAUGUUAUUUGGAGAUUAAAUUAUUUGUUUACUAAUCUUCUGAAUUUUGACGAUCCACUGAAUGUUGAAGCUGCAGAACAUCAUUUGUAGGACAAGGAGGACUUCUUGAAUAAAGUCGAUGACUACAUCAAGUGUUAAUGCCAGAUGAUAAAAGGAGAAGAUUGCAGGCCCAUGGACUGUGUGUUACAGUUUGUCUCUAAUGUGAAAAAGCAGCAAGAGGCAUUGCCUUCUCUCCCCUGUCCCCUGACUCUCCCUCUCAUUCCCCUGGAUUGUCCCAGUCCUGUGACCAUGUUGUCCUGACGAAGACCAUCUUCAUGACUGCCCGUUGUAGAUGGAGAAUUCAACAUAAAGACAGCAAGAAAACGUAUUUAGGUUUCUAAAGAGUUAUCUGCUUGUCUUAUGUUUUAGGCUGUUCUUGCAUUGCUAUAAAUGCCCAAGACUGGGUGAUUUAUAAAGAAAAGAGGUUUAAUUGGCUUAUGGUUUGGCAGGCUGUAGAAGCAUGGCACUGGCAUCUACUUGGCUUCUGGGGAGGCCUCAGGGAGCUUUUACUCAUGGUGGAAGGUGAAGCAGGAGCAGGCACAUCAUAUGGCGAGAGUGGAAACGAGAGCGCAAGGGGGACAGCCAGAUCUCACGAGAACUUACUGUUGUGUUGAAAGCACCACGUCGUGAGGGAUCCACCCCGAUGACCCAAAUACCUCCCACCAGGCCUCACCUCCAACACUGGGGAUUACAUCUCAACAUGAUAUUUGGAAGAGACAUCUAAACUAUAUCACCUUAACAUGUUUACUUUUUUGAACUCGUACUGUUUAGGCUGUUGGUGAUACUCUUGAGAAGUUGUAAUGAACUCAAAAUUGAGGCUGGAGCUUUCUUAUUCUUUUCCCCAACAAAAUUGGUUUUCUCCCGAAGUGAUGCUCAUGAUGUGUUCAGUGUAACUUGCAGAUUGGAAUAAGAAACCUGCUACAAAUUGUGAUUGGAUACAAAUGCCCUUAUCCUCUGUGAAUGUUGGCCCUAUCUACAUGUUAUGAAGUUUCCCAGAAUGCAUAAAGUCUUUCACUGUAGACAUUUUUAUUGAAAUGCAUAUUUUAUUUAAGUAUAUUUUGGACCAAUUAAAUUAAAUUUUUACAAUGUAAUGCUUUAUUUUUUGUGUUCUCAUUUUGUAUUUUGUAUUUUCAUUGUAUAGGGCAAAGACGUUGGGUUGGCCGAGCAUGGUAGCUCACGCUUGUAAUUCUAGCACUUUGGGACCAGAGGCCGAGGUGGGCGGAUUGUGUGAGCCCCGGAGUUGAGACCAGCUGGCUGGGGCAACAUGGUGAAACCCUGUCUCUACAAAAAAUACAAAAAUUAGCCAGGCAUGGUGACACGUGCUUGUAGUUCCAGCUACUCAGGAGGCUGAGGUGGGAGGAUUGCCUGAGCCCAGGGAGGUUGAGGCUGUGAUGAGCUGGGAUCAUGCCCUGGGCAACAGAGUGAGACCCUGUCUCAAAAAAAAAAAAAAAAAAAAGUAGGAAAAAUGUUGGGUCAACCACCUAUUGAAGAGAAAUACAAAGAAACUAUGAAAGGCAUUAUUCAUUUUGUCCAAAUGCAACAAGAAUAUGGCUCUGAAAAGUCAUCUCUUGCUCUCAGGUCCACAUGUGGCAAGGACAUUUUGGAGCUCUUUGAAACUAGAUCUGGAUGAUAAAAAUAAAAACAAACAAACAAAAAGGCAGGAAGCCCAUUCUCACAUGCUGCCCAGAGGAAACUGGCUGGAGCUGGGACCUGCUGGGGUUGGUGUUCUUGCAGUGAUCUUAUGAUCGUGAGCCAGUAGCUACUUAGAGUGCCAAACCCUGGCUGUCCUGAGGGACAGGAUAGAUACUCAGGAAUCAGCCCAAACAAUGUCUGAUGCUACUGAGACUGUACCUGUGGCCGCCUUCUGCAUUUGCUUUGACUCCGGGCCCUGCCUGGGGAUGAGCCUCUUAGGCCUUAGAGGACCAGGAUUCAGCAACAGCAUAUGCCAUACUUGGCCAGAUUAACACACAUUGGAGGAAGAGCCCAGAAGAAAGACAGGUGGAUUUACUCCAGCUUUUAAACAUUUGAACCAAUGAAAUCAAAUGCGAAAUAAAUGUUUG